AUACCUUUCUUGGCCUUUUGGCUAAGAUCAAGUGUAGUAUCUGUUCUUAUGAGUUUAAUAUCUGAUAUGUGGGCCAUUGACUCACACGAUAUUAACUCAAUUUUUUUUAGGGGAAAGGCCUAUUUAGGUAGCUUGCUGCCUUGGCCUUUGCGUGUCGCCUUGGUGUUGCAUUGUUACCUUGGCCUGGCAUACCCCAU
rnacentral:snRNA from 1 species